rnacentral:rRNA from 1 species
GAUGAACGCUAGCUACAGGCUUAACACAUGCAAGUCGAGGGGCAGCAUGAUUGAAGCUUGCUUCAAUUGAUGGCGACCGGCGCACGGGUGAGUAACACGUAUCCAACCUUCCGUACACUCAGGGAUAGCCUUUCGAAAGAAAGAUUAAUACCUGAUGGUAUCUUAAGCACACAUGUAAUUAAGAUUAAAGAUUUAUCGGUGUACGAUGGGGAUGCGUUCCAUUAGGUAGUAGGCGGGGUAACGGCCCACCUAGCCUACGAUGGAUAGGGGUUCUGAGAGGAAGGUCCCCCACAUUGGAACUGAGACACGGUCCAAACUCCUACGGGGGCAGCAGUGGGGAAUAUUGCACAAUGGAGGAAACUCUGAUGCAGCGACGCCGCGUGAGUGAAGAAGUAGUUCGCUAUGUAAAGCUCUAUCAGCAGGGAAGAUAGUGACGGUACCUGACUAAGAAGCUCCGGCUAAAUACGUGCCAGCAGCCGCGGU